rnacentral:rRNA from 1 species
GACGAACGCUGGCGGCGUGCUUAACACAUGCAAGUCGAACGGAAAGGUCCUGCUUUUGUGGGGUGCUCGAGUGGCGAACGGGUGAGUAACACGUGAGUAACCUGUCCUUGACUUUGGGAUAACUUAAGGCAACUGGGGCUAAUACCGGAUAGGAGCUCCUGCUGCUUGGUGGGGGCUGGAAAGUUUCGGCGGUUGGGGAUGGACUCGCGGCUUAUCAGCUUGUUGGUGGGGUAGUGGCUUACCAAGGCUGUGACGGGUAGCCGGCCUGUGAGGGUGACCGGCCACAUAGGGAGGGAGUGACAGCCCAGACACCUACGGGAGGCAGGAGUGAGGAAUGUUGCUCGAUGGGCGGGAGCCAGAUGGAGGAAGCCCGGGUGCGGGAAGGAGGCCGGCGGGAGGAAAGCAGCUUUCUCCUGUGGCGGAGCGUGAGUGACGGAAAUGGGGAAGAAAGCACGGGCUAACUACUU